rnacentral:rRNA from 1 species
CGCGCAGGCGGCUUGGCAAGUCGGGUGUGAAAUCCCGGGGCUCAACCCCGGGACUGCAUUCGAUACUGUCAGGCUAGAGGUAGGUAGGGGAGAUCGGAAUUCCUGGUGUAGCGGUGAAAUGCGCAGAUAUCAGGAGGAACACCGGUGGCGAAGGCGGAUCUCUGGGCCUUACCUGACGCUCAGGCGCGAAAGCUAGGGGGCGAACA